GACGAACGCUGGCGGCGUGCUUAACACAUGCAAGUCGAACGGAAAGGCCCUGCUUUUGUGGGGUGCUCGAGUGGCGAACGGGUGAGUAACACGUGAGUAACCUGCCCUUGACUUUGGUAUAACUUCAGGAAACUGGGGCUAAUACCGGAUAGGAUCUCCUGCUGCAUGGUGGGGGUUGGAAAUUUUCGGCGGUAGGGGAUGGACUCGCGGCUUAUCAGCUUGUUGGUGGGGUAGUGGCUUACCAAGGCUUUGACGGGUAGCCGGCCUGAGAGGGUGACCGGCCACAAUAGGACUGAGAGACGGCGCAGACUGCAACGGGAGGCAGCAGGGGGGAGUAUUGCACAGUGGGAGGAAGUCUGAUGAAGAAACGCCGCGGGCGGGAUGACGGCCUUCGGGUUGUAAACAGCUUUAGCCUGUGACGAAGCGUGAGUGACGGUAAUGGGUAAAGAAGCACCGGCUAACUACGUG
rnacentral:rRNA from 1 species